rnacentral:rRNA from 1 species
GACGAACGCUGGCGGCGUGCCUAAUACAUGCAAGUAGAACGCUGAAGGAGGAGCUUGCUUCUCUGGAUGAGUUGCGAACGGGUGAGUAACGCGUAGGAAACCUGCCUGGUAGCGGGGGAUAACUAUUGGAAACGAUAGCUAAUACCGCAUAAGAGUAGAUGUUGCAUGACAUUUGCUUAAAAGGUGCAAUUGCAUCACUACCAGAUGGACCUGCGUUGUAUUAGCUAGUUGGUGGGGUAACGGCUUACCAAGGCGACGAUACAUAGCCGACCUGAGAGGGGGAUCGGCCACCCUGGGACUGCGCCACGGCCCAGACUCCUACGGGAGGCAGCAGUAGGGAAUCUUCGGCAAUGGACGGAAGUCUGACCGAGCAACGCCGCGUGAGUGAAGAAGGUUUUCGGAUCGUAAAGCUCUGUUGUAAGAGAAGAACGAGUGUGAGAGUGGAAAGUUCACACUGUGACGGUAUCUUACCAGAAAGGGACGGCUAACUACGUG